rnacentral:rRNA from 1 species
GUGGGGAAUUUUGGACAAUGGGCGCAAGCCUGAUCCAGCAAUGCCGCGUGCAGGAAGAAGGCCUUCGGGUUGUAAACUGCUUUUGUACGGAACGAAACGGUCCUGGUUAAUACCCGGGGCUAAUGACGGUACCGUAAGAAUAAGCACCGGCUAACUACGUGCCAGCAGCCGCGGUAAUACGUAGGGUGCAAGCGUUAAUCGGAAUUACUGGGCGUAAAGCGUGCGCAGGCGGUGCUGUAAGACAGGCGUGAAAUCCCCGGGCUUAACCUGGGAAUUGCGCUUGUGACUGCAGUGCUGGAGUGCGGCAGAGGGGGAUGGAAUUCCGCGUGUAGCAGUGAAAUGCGUAGAUAUGCGGAGGAACACCGAUGGCGAAGGCAAUCCCCUGGGCCUGCACUGACGCUCAUGCACGAAAGCGUGGGGAGCAAACAGGAUUAGAAACCCUGGUAGUCC